GUGACUUUAUGUGGAAUCAUCUUUUGUAUAUCAGACACUGCUGACCAGAAUCUUAUUCUACACCUGGCUUUCAAACAAAGUGGUUCAUGAACGAAGAACAGCCUUGGCGUAUAGAGUGGGAGGAGGAAGACAGAGUCAGAGAUACACCUUGGAACGGCUGGAGUCAGAUGCUGUAAAUAUUACCCGAACCUUCAUCCGGCAAAGGAUGGAGAUAGAGAC